GAUGAAGAACGCAGCGAAAUGCGAUACUUGGUGUGAAUUGCAGAAUCCCGUGAACCAUCGAGUCUUUGAACGCAAGUUGCGCCGGAAGCCAUUAGGCCGAGGGCACGCCUGCCUGGGCGUCACACGUCGUUGCCCCCCCAUCUACUCCUUCGGGAUUGCGGGGGGCGGAUGAUGGCCUCCCGUGCGCCUCGUCGCGCGGUUGGCCUAAAUGCCAAGUCCUCGGCGACGCACGCCACGACAAUCGGUGGUUGCGAAACCUCGGUUGCCUGUCGUGUGCGGUCGUCGCGCAUCGAGGGCUCGAAAAAAUUGCCGGGCUCCGGCUCGGCUUUCAACGCGACCCCAGGUCAGGCGGGGUUACCCGCUGAAUUUAAGCAUAUCAAUAAGCGGAGGA
rnacentral:misc_RNA from 1 species